UGACAGUCUCACCUGCAGCUCUUCACAUGCUGACACCUUCUCUAAGGUAGAACAUGGAAAUUGUUUUCAUUAAAUGGCUCAGCCUCGGAUUAUGCUUCAUCUUAAAGUGGACUUCAAGUGAUGGGAGUGAUGUCAACCAGACCUCCAUGAUUUGGAAAAAACAGGGCGAAGAUGCAACAAUAAACUGCAGCCACACAAAGGAUUUCUCUCACAACCAGAUGUAUUGGUACAGACAGCUGCCUGGAGAAACUAUGAAACUAGUUGUGUUCACAAGUACAGCAAAACCUGAUCAUGAUUUUGGAAAUUUCAGCAGGGAGAAAUUUGCAGCCACCAAGCCUGACGCUUACACUGGGACGUUCACAGUGAAGGAUCUGGUGCCUACAGACAAAGGCUUGUAUUUCUGUGCUGUGAGCAAACACAGUGAUACAGAUGCACCCAGUAGCUGAACAAAAACCCCAGUACACUGUCAGUGCAAAGUUUUACCUACUAAUCUCCUCUACUGUGGUACCCACCACACAAUACAUGCACCUGCAGCUUUUUAUCUUUAUAUUCUGACUUUAUAGAGAUGAUCCAAAACCAUCUUGGGAGCUUUUAACUGUACAGUACAAAGAAAGGUGCAUGAGAUAUUUGUGCUCCUCUGUACAGCAUUUGUUUAGGAUAAAGAAAUAAUCGGCAAGUGUCACAAAUUGCUGUAAAUGUUCUACUAUAUCAUAGUAAAAUUUUCUGGUCAUGUUAACAGUUUUAGAUUCAGUCACACUGAAAUU